AAGAACAGGAUAUAUUUCUAAUGAGACCAAUAAUACUCAGCCUAUUAUAAAAGCCAGACUGUCUAGUAGUCUCCUGGGAGAUGUGCCUAGUGAGUCCAACAACUUAAUGUAGUAAAGCGGUUAAACUUAUUUAUUUUUGUCCCCCACCCCAAAUAGCUCUGACAAAAUACUACAAUUUUCAGUCUGGCUGGUGUAGUGACUAAACUUUUAUAGAAAAUAACUUGCAGAUAACCAAGAUUAGCAAAGUGUAGGAAGUUUUUAUUGUCUGAUGUCCUGAGCUCCACUCUGCAGUGAAGUAACCUAAAAUAAGCAGUUGAUUCAUUGGAUCGUAAGAACUUAAUCUGGCAAAAAUUUGUCUUAAAAUGGCUAAUUAGGGGGGAGAAGGAC